rnacentral:rRNA from 1 species
GACGAACGCUGGCGGCGUGCUUAACACAUGCAAGUCGAACGGAAAUGCCCUGCUUUUGUGGGGUGCUCGAGUGGCGAACGGGUGAGUAACACGUGAGUAACCUGCCCUUGACUUUGGGAUAACUUCAGGAAACUGCCUCUAAUACCGCAUAUGAGCUCCUGCUGCAUUUUGGGGGUUGGAAAGUUUCGGCGGUUGGGGAUCGACUCGCUGCUUAUCAGCUUGUUGGUGGGGUAGUGGCUUACCAAGGCUUUGACGGGUAGCCGGCCUGAGAGGGUGACCGGCCACAAUGGGACUGAGAUACGGCCCAGACGGCUACGGGAGGCAGCAGUGGGGAAUAUUGCAAAAUGGGAGGAAGCCUGAUGAAGCAACGCCGGGUGAGGGAUGAGGGCGUUGGGGUUGUAAACCGAUUUGGCCUGUGACGAAGCGAGAGUGACGGUAAUGGGUAAAGAAGCAACGGCUAACUACGUG